rnacentral:lncRNA from 1 species
GAUAUGGCGAUAAGGCACCACGUUGGAAGCAGACAGACUGGGCCUUCACCAGACACUGAACCUGCCUGUGCCUUGAUACUGGACUUCCAGGCUCCAGCACUGAGACCAUAAUCAUAACCCAGAAUCAAAUGGCACUGAAAGGUGACUCAAGAAGUUUGUAGAAGAACUCUGAUCAAGAAUUUUAACUCAGUUCAGGGGUCAAUAAUUUUUAAUGAGAUAACUGAAAGGAACAGUUUUGGGGGUUUGGAGAAAGGUAAAAUCAUAAUCACCAGGAAUUCAUUGCAGAACUCCACGUAAUUACUGUGAAGAGACUGAAGUUUUCAGGCCCCACUUGAAUUACCAGGGUCCCUUUAGAGUGAAAAAUGUAUGAAUCUCUUCCCUGGAGUUGUAGAGGACUUGGAUAUACAUUCUAGAAUAUGAAGAUUGAUUGAAAUUCUUAGAAGCAGAAAGUGGAAGAGAGAGACAAAGUGAGAAGAAAAAUAGCUGCAUGUUUCUAUUUUAUGCAGGGCCAGGCUUGGGCUAUUAUGAAUGUUGCUGAACACUGUUAAUCAAGCUUACACAGCUAUUUUGAUGGCAAACAAUUAGAACUCUGCAGCUCUACCUUGCAAUUAGCUUCAGGGAUACGGACCUGCACACCCUAAUAAUGAAAGAGACCUCCUUCAAGCACGGAACAGGUUACCUACCCCUACAGCAAAUACUCCCUUGGAUUAUUCACUCUGGAGAAAAUCAGCUUCCACAUCAUGAGUGCUGUGAAGAGGCUCACAUGAGUGAACUUGGAAGAAGAUCCCCUGAGGCCUGGCAACAACCAAAUAAGCUUGGAAGUGUGCUCUUCAGCCCUGCUUGAGCCUUGACAGGAUAGCUGCAUGGACCAACUCACAAUUUGACCACAGCCUUAUGGGACAAAUGGAGCCAAUGACACCCAGCUAAGCCAUACCUAGAUUCCUGAUGCACAGAAACUGUAAAAUGAUAAGUGUUUGCUGUUUUAAGCUGCUAAUUUUGGGUAAAAUUUGUUAUAUGCAAUAGAUGACUAGUAGAAGGAUUAAAUGAGAUAAUUCACGUAAAGAACUUAGCAUGCACCCAAACAAUGGUAACUGUUAAUUGAACUGCUAAUAGUAUGGACCACACUUGCCUUUCCCUUUUCUCAAUUUUCAUAAAUAGAUUAAUCUAUAAUAAUCCUACAGCUAUAAUUUGAUACUUUAUGUUACUAAAGAAACUAGUAUAUACAUAUAUUUACAUAUACAUAUGUGCUUAUAUGUGUAUAUAUGGUUGCAUAUAUAUCUAUAUUUUUAUGUGCAUCAUAUAUGUAUGUGUGUAUGUGGUGUGUGUGUGUGUAUGUGUGUAAGUCUUUGAGUUCAAGGCUCUUUGGCUUUAUCUUAAGCACUGUGUUAGCUUAUACAAAAUGUGAAUUUAUUGUAUGAUGAAUAAAUUGAUGCUAGAUAGAAUGACACACUUUGAUCCAUUAGGCUUGCUUUAAGAAAAUUCUGCAAGCUGCAGAGCUGGUAUUUCUGGAAUCCAUUUGGGGUGACUGCGAAUUGGGUCAAAGGGAAUUAAACAGAUGGAAUUAUCUGGUUUCAUUUGAGUCAGCUGAGAAAAUAGAAAGGCCAGCCUCAAUUUCCAUAGUCAGCAGUAUAUAAUCUUUAAUUUUGGACAAAAAGAGAUAAUUAAAACCAAUUUAUAUUAUCAAAAAUGUUUUCAAAUACUAGUAAAUGGUGAGCCACAUACACUAAUCUUGAAAGCUUAGUUAUUGGGUAGGAAGGAUUUUGAAUUGCUUUGUGUAUGCUUUAAUUGUUGUCAAAAGGCUAGACUAUUGUCUAUGUUCCUUUUUUCAUCACAUCCAUUAGUUUAAAUAUUACAUGGUUGCACAAAUUAAAAUGCUACAGACAUUCAGUUAGAAACCUGGAGGCAAGUUUCUGACCUAAAAAGCACACAGAUUUGGUAGACUGACAGAUCUGGGCUCCAAUCCAGGUUUGGUCACUUACUAAAUUUGUGUCUUUGAGUAAAUGAUGUAAAUUUUCUUAACCUUGGUUUCUCAUUGUCUAAAAUGGAGAUAAUGAUAUUUG